rnacentral:rRNA from 1 species
AGAGUUUGAUCAUGGCUCAGAUUGAACGCUGGCGGCAGGCUUAACACAUGCAAGUCGAGCGGAGAGAGGUAGCUUGCUACUGAUCUUAGCGGCGGACGGGUGAGUAAUGCUUAGGAAUCUGCCUAUUAGUGGGGGACAACAUUUCGAAAGGAAUGCUAAUACCGCAUACGUCCUACGGGAGAAAGCAGGGGAUCUUCGGACCUUGCGCUAAUAGAUGAGCCUAAGUCGGAUUAGCUAGUUGGUGGGGUAAAGGCCUACCAAGGCGACGAUCUGUAGCGGGUCUGAGAGGAUGAUCCGCCACACUGGGACUGAGACACGGCCCAGACUCCUACGGGAGGCAGCAGUGGGGAAUAUUGGACAAUGGGCGCAAGCCUGAUCCAGCCAUGCCGCGUGUGUGAAGAAGGCCUUAUGGUUGUAAAGCACUUUAAGCGAGGAGGAGGCUACUUUAGAUAAUACCUAGAGAUAGUGGACGUUACUCGCAGAAUAAGCACCGGCUAACUCUGUGCCAGCAGCCGCGGUAAUACAGAGGGUGCAAGCGUUAAUCGGAUUUACUGGGCGUAAAGCGCGCGUAGGCGGCUAAUUAAGUCAAAUGUGAAAUCCCCGAGCUUAACUUGGGAAUUGCAUUCGAUACUGGUUAGCUAGAGUGUGGGAGAGGAUGGUAGAAUUCCAGGUGUAGCGGUGAAAUGCGUAGAGAUCUGGAGGAAUACCGAUGGCGAAGGCAGCCAUCUGGCCUAACACUGACGCUGAGGUGCGAAAGCAUGGGGAGCAAACAGGAUUAGAUACCCUGGUAGUCCAUGCCGUAAACGAUGUCUACUAGCCGUUGGGGCCUUUGAGGCUUUAGUGGCG